UGGGGAAUAUUGCACAAUGGGCGCAAGCCUGAUGCAGCGACGCCGCGUGAGGGAUGACGGCCUUCGGGUUGUAAACCUCUUUCAGUAGGGGACAAGGCCUCCUUUUUGGGGGGUUGAGGGUACCUGCAGAAGAAGCGCCGGCUAACUACGUGCCAGCAGCCGCGGUAAUACGUAGGGCGCAAGCGUUGUCCGGAAUUAUUGGGCGUAAAGAGCUCGUAGGCGGUUUGUCGCGUCUGCUGUGAAAACGCGGGGCUUAACCCUGCGCCUGCAGUGGGUACGGGCAGACUUGAGUGCGGUAGGGGAGACUGGAAUUCCUGGUGUAGCGGUGGAAUGCGCAGAUAUCAGGAGGAACACCGGUGGCGAAGGCGGGUCUCUGGGCCGUUAC
rnacentral:rRNA from 1 species